AGAGUUUGAUCCUGGCUCAGGAUGAACGCUGGCGGCGUGCUUAACACAUGCAAGUCGAGCGAAGCAGCUAAGAAGAUUCUUCGGAUGAUUCUUGACCGACUGAGCGGCGGACGGGUGAGUAACGCGUGGGUGACCUGCCCCAUACCGGGGGAUAACAGCUGGAAACGGCUGCUAAUACCGCAUAAGCGCACAGAGCUGCAUGGCUCGGUGUGAAAAACUCCGGUGGUAUGGGAUGGGCCCGCGUCUGAUUAGGCAGUUGGCGGGGUAACGGCCCACCAAACCGACGAUCAGUAGCCGGCCUGAGAGGGCGACCGGCCACAUUGGGACUGAGACACGGCCCGAACUCCUACGGGAGGCAGCAGUGGGGAAUAUUGCACAAUGGGGGAAACCCUGAUGCAGCGACGCCGCGUGAGCGAAGAAGUAUUUCGGUAUGUAAAGCUCUAUCAGCAGGGAAGAUAAUGACGGUACCUGACUAAGAAGCCCCGGCUAACUACGUGCCAGCAGCCGCGGUAAUACGUAGGGGGCAAGCGUUAUCCGGAUUUACUGGGUGUAAAGGGAGCGUAGACGGCAAGGCAAGUCUGAUGUGAAAACCCAGGGCUUAACCCUGGGACUGCAUUGGAAACUGUCUGGCUCGAGUGCCGGAGAGGUAAGCGGAAUUCCUAGUGUAGCGGUGAAAUGCGUAGAUAUUAGGAAGAACACCAGUGCCGAAGGCGGCUUACUGGACGGUAACUGACGUUGAGGCUCGAAAGCGUGGGGAGCAAACAGGAUUAGAUACCCUGGUAGUCCACGCCGUAAACGAU
rnacentral:rRNA from 1 species